GUGCUCUCUUCAGCAGCAUGUACACUAAAACAGGAGCGAUGCACAGAGGAUGAGCACGGCCCCUGUGCAAGGAUGACACACAAAUUCGUGGAGUGUUCCAUAUUUAA